AUUGAACGCUGGCGGCAGGCCUAACACAUGCAAGUCGAACGAGUGGCGGACGGGUGAGUAAUGUCUGGGAAACUGCCUGAUGGAGGGGGAUAACUACUGGAAACGGUAGCUAAUACCGCAUACCAUCGGAUGUGCCCAGAUGGGAUUAGCUAGUCGGUGGGGUAAGGGCUCACCUAGGCUACGACCCCUAGUUGGUCUGAGAGGAUGACAAGCCACACUGGAACUGAGACACGGGGCAGACUCCUACGGGAGGCAGAAGUGGGGAAUAUUGCACACUGGGCGCAAGCCUGAUGCAGCCAGGCCGCGUGUAUUAAGAAGGCCUUCGGGGUGUAAAGUACUUUCAGCGGGGAGGCGUUACCCGCAGAAGAAGCACCGGCUAACUCCGUGCCAGCAGCCGCGGUAAUUC
rnacentral:rRNA from 1 species